GAAUAUUGCCAGGACCAGUGAAAAGGACCGGAGCAUUAAGCUUUCCAAUCCACGACUUAGGAAACCUUUUUCUCAAACCCCAUGUUAUAAAAGGAGCAACUGCACCUAUCAAAAAGAAAAAAAUCAAUGGGUAAUAUGGUUUUCCUUUUGAAAACAUUUUAGCGGGCCCAAUUGCACCCCAAAUUAAGGAGGCAUUAUAGAUGGAACGACCGUUGGGACAAGUAAAGCCAUUUGAUUGUGAAGUUGUACAAAUACCUGGAAUGUGAUAAUUCAUCCAUUCCUGUACAGCAACCUGGGUAAUUCCACCGAGGAUUGUAGCAAAAAGCUGAACAAAAAAUAAUAUACGUGGAGGUAUUUUCAUAUAUUGAGCGAGUUUAAGAUCACGAGAAAACUCUAGCCCUUGCCGCAUAGGAAUGAACCCAUACAGUUUAAUCAUCAAAUUAGCUAAAGGUUUCCCAGGUAAAAUAUAACCGCCAAUUAGCUCAGUGAUAAUAUUGAGACCGACAUGCUGAUUUGUAAUGCCUUCAAGAACACCUUGAGGAAUGAAAUUUACAAUAAAAAUCAACAAGGCAACAAUGAGAGCCCACACAGGACAUUGCGUAUCAUAGUAACGAACUGUGAAAAUGGUUAAGCCAAAGACUACGAUGAACAAUGUGGCAUACCACCACUGAGGUGCUUCCUUAUAAUUGCGCAUCAGCUUCCGAUGAAUGCAUUCAUCUUUACCAGACUCUUUCCAUAAGCGUUGCCAUAUAUCUUUUCCAUUGUA